GCAGUCGAACGGUCUUUUCUAUGGAAGCUUGCUUCCACUGAGAAGAUAGUGGCGAACGGGUGAGUAACACGUGGGUAACCUGCCCAUAAGAGGGGGAUAACAUCCGGAAACGGGUGCUAAUACCGCAUAGUUUUCUUGAUCGCAUGAUCGGGAAAGGAAAGACGGCCUUUGUGCUGUCGCUUAUGGAUGGACCCGCGGCGUAUUAGUUAGUUGGUGAGGUAACGGCUCACCAAGACGAUGAUACGUAGCCGACCUGAGAGGGUGAUCGGCCACAUUGGGACUGAGACACGGCCCAAACUCCUACGGGAGGCAGCAGUAGGGAAUCUUCCGCAAUGGACGAAAGUCUGACGGAGCAACGCCGCGUGAGUGAAGAAGGUUUUCGGAUCGUAAAACUCUGUUGUCAGAGAAGAACAAGUUGGAGAGUAACUGCUCCAGCCUUGACGGUAUCUGACCAGAAAGCCACGGCUAACUACGUGCCAGCAGCCGCGGUAAUACGUAGGUGGCCAAGCGUUGUCCGGAUUUAUUGGGCGUUAAAGCGAGCGCAGGCGGUUCCUUAAGUUCUGAUGUGAAAGCCCACGGCUCAACCGUGGAAGGUCAUUGGAAACUGGGGAACUUGAGUGCAGAAGAGGAGAGUG
rnacentral:rRNA from 1 species